UACAGAGGGUGCAAGCGUUAUUCGGAAUUACUGGGCGUAAAGCGCGCGUAGGCGGACUGUUAAGUCGGUUGUGAAAGCCCUGGGCUCAACCUAGGAAUUGCAUCCGAUACUGGCAGUCUAGAGUUUAAGAGAGGGAAGGGGAAUUCCAGGUGUAGCAGUGAAAUGCGUAGAUAUCUGGAGGAACAUCAGUGGCGAAGGCGCCUUCCUGGCUUAAAACUGACGCUGAGGUGCGAAAGCGUGGGUAGCGAACGGG
rnacentral:rRNA from 1 species